UAUACCUCUCUCUCCUCUUCACAACCUAUAACCCCCAAAUCUCGAAGCCGACGCGACAUAGGGUCCCAAAAUCAAGUGUAUAGAUGUCGCAGUUGAUUACUCGUCGUCGGAGUGUGUCCAAUGCAGCUCCUGCAUUAUCAGCAUCUAGUGCUCCAGGCGUGAGUGCUCCGUUGAUUGGGGAGCCUACACCCCUUACGGAGGCUACUCCUACAACGUCCCAGGUGCCCGUAUCAUCAACGUCAUCAGUGUCAGUUGAGCCCCUCAGUGCACGGCGGCCUCACCGGCGCCGCCGCGAGCCGGAGCCUUCUGAUCACACUUCCUCGUCUUCCAGAGUCGAGGAUGGGGCCUCCCAACCAGGUA